AUCUAAAGUAGAAUAGGCAGAUACUGACCUCAUCUCUUCAUGCUGGAAAAUUACUGCCACAUAACUUGGCUUUCUUGCCAUCUUAAAGUGGUUAUUGGAGUCAGCAAUGUGGAGGCAAGCACGAAUGUGGCUCUGUUGUGUAUGCUGCAGCAAAUUCUCUUGUUUGGAAACAUGUAUAAUGAAUGGAAAAGCAAGUGGGCAAGCAGUACUGUUUAGCUGUUUAACUGGCCUCUUCCACGUGUCAGGAAAGCCUGGGAAGAAUUCAGAGUGAGCUAUGUUGCCUGACCCUUGCACUGAGAGCAAAUUGCUUCUGCUAGCCAUUGUACAAGCUUUUGGUCUGCUGCCCCACAUGCUCAUUUGGGAAAGAAGGUCCCAGAGAGGUCCUCUGCAACAGCACUGAGGAAGAUAAGCCCAUACUGAGAUACAGGCAGAGCGUACUGGUCUGUGAGGAUCCAAGCAGGCUAGCAGUACAUGUUGCAAGUGGCUGUUCCAGCCUCUCCUAUCCCCUUGCCAGUUCACAGUUCUGGACAUUUUCUGCAACUGGAGAGACCUGGUUGGCAGCCCUGUAGAUGGACAGACAGAGCUUGCUGUUCCUCUUUAGAGGGCAAGGAAGACUGUUGUUCUACAUGAAACGUAUUAAUUAGAUAUCUGCAUCGUAAAGGAAACACUUGAGCUGUAUGCUUCCAUACAACAUCACAUCUCUAGAUCACAAUGAAUUUAAGGACAAACCUUCUCUUCCCUGGGUUGCUUGCAUCAAGCUGCGCAAAUCCUGAUGGCCUUAAGCGUACCUACCUGGUCCCAGUGUGGCUACUCACGGCCUGCGUUGUGCAGAAAUUAAACUAUAUUCCAAAAGGCCUGCUUCAAAACCCAGCGGCAAGGCUAAGGGCCUCAAUAUCGCCUGUGUUGCCUGAGGGGGAAUAGCUGAAGGAAAAUGUUCCCAUCCUGUUCUCAAGACUGAAAAGCAAAGAUGUGCUGGAGACCAAUGACAGUAAUUCUUCCAGGCCUGGCUUUCAUGAAAUCCAAAUGAGAACAGGUCAUCUGAGGUUCUCCUUCUACCCCAUGUCACCAAACGCCUCUGCAGGGAUGAGUCAAUUUGGCAGAUGUCCUAAGUGAAUUCCAGUGAGAAGAGGAAGCAGAGGACAGGCCGCAAUCGAGCCAAAGCGUCAGGCAAACAGAAAUCAGCCUGCUUGUGUGAGAGCUGCACCAUCAAG